CGCUGGGUAGCUAUGUGUGGACGGGAUAAGUGCUGAAAGCAUCUAAGCAUGAAGCCCCCCUCAAGAUGAGAUUUCCCAUAGCGCAAGCUAGUAAGAUCCCUGAAAGAUGAUCAGGUUGAUAGGUCAGAGGUGGAAGCACGGCGACGUGUGUAGCUGACUGAUACUAAUCGAUCGAGGACUUAACCAAAA
rnacentral:rRNA from 1 species